AUAGGUUUCAUGUCUGUUUUAUUAAAGUAAAUACAAUGUGAGCUACAGCACUGCAUGAAUCCAAAUAUCCAGUGGGUUUCGGGCUUUAAAGCUGCCAAAAAAUAAUUCUUAUUGAGGAAUGAAAUCAGAUGGAUUGCAUUAAUUGGUUUGGUUUUCCUCCACUUAUUAUUUGCAAUCACAUUAUCAGUGCCUUAGAGCACCCGAUCGUGACCCUGGGGUAUUUUACAGUAUUGGAAUUUCCGAAGCUCAAUCAAUGCGCAGUCUCGUGGGUCUGGCGGGUAUAUAAGCGUCGGCCCUCAGUGUCGGAUAAUCAUUGUAGAAACAGAUUUUACAGCUUAAUCAUGAACUGCCUGAAGAUCUGCGGCUUUGUGUUUGCUCUCAUUGCGGCCCUUUCGACUGCGGAGGCUGGUAAGUGAUCGGGAACAAAUUUUCUAGUUGGAAUUGAUUGCUUAUCAGUGCACCUAUCGUCCAAUUAGCUACCCAAGUGCUGAAUGCUGGCGGCCAUACCCUCAUCCAAACGGACCGGACUCAGUACAUCCGCAGAAACUAAAUGGACCUUGGAAAUAAAACAAAUAAAUAGUGCUUAAAACAAUUUCUCCCCCUGUUUUUGAAUUCUCAAAAUUAGUCUUUAGACGAUGG
rnacentral:lncRNA from 1 species